GAUGAACGCUGGCGGCGUGCCUAAUACAUGCAAGUCGAGCGAACGGACGAGAAGCUUGCUUCUCUGAUGUUAGCGGCGGACGGGUGAGUAACACGUGGAUAACCUACCUAUAAGACUGGGAUAACUUCGGGAAACCGGAGCUAAUACCGGAUAAUAUUUUGAACCGCAUGGUUCAAAAGUGAAAGACGGUCUUGCUGUCACUUAUAGAUGGAUCCGCGCUGCAUUAGCUAGUUGGUAAGGUAACGGCUUACCAAGGCAACGAUGCAUAGCCGACCUGAGAGGGUGAUCGGCCACACUGGAACUGAGACACGGUCCAGACUCCUACGGGAGGCAGCAGUAGGGAAUCUUCCGCAAUGGGCGAAAGCCUGACGGGGCAACGCCGCGUGAGUGAUGAAGGUCUUCGGAUCGUAAAACUCUGUUAUUAGGGAAGAACAUAUGUGUAAGUAACUGUGCACAUCUUGACGGUACCUAAUCAGAAAGCCACGGCUAACUACGUGCCAGCAGCCGCGGUAAUACGUAGGUGGCAAGCGUUAUCCGGAAUUAUUGGGCGUAAAGCGCGCGUAGGCGGUUUUUUAAGUCUGAUGUGAAAGCCCACGGCUCAACCGUGGAGGGUCAUUGGAAACUGGAAAACUUGAGUGCAGAAGAGGAAAGUGGAAUUCCAUGUGUAGCGGUGAAAUGCGCAGAGAUAUGGAGGAACACCAGUGGCGAAGGCGACUUUCUGGUCUGUAACUGACGCUGAUGUGCGAAAGCGUGGGGAUCAAACAGGAUUAGAUACCCUGGUAGUCCACGCCGUAAACGAUGAGUGCUAAGUGUUAGGGGGUUUCCGCCCCUUAGUGCUGCAGCUAACGCAUUAAGCACUCCGCCUGGGGAGUACGACCGCAAGGUUGAAACUCAAAGGAAUUGACGGGGACCCGCACAAGCGGUGGAGCAUGUGGUUUAAUUCGAAGCAACGCGAAGAACCUUACCAAAUCUUGACAUCCUUCGACAACUCUAGAGAUAGAGCUUUCCCCUUCGGGGGACAAAGUGACAGGUGGUGCAUGGUUGUCGUCAGCUCGUGUCGUGAGAUGUUGGGUUAAGUCCCGCAACGAGCGCAACCCUUAAGCUUAGUUGCCAUCAUUAAGUUGGGCACUCUAAGUUGACUGCCGGUGACAAACCGGAGGAAGGUGGGGAUGACGUCAAAUCAUCAUGCCCCUUAUGAUUUGGGCUACACACGUGCUACAAUGGACAAUACAAAGGGCAGCGAAACCGCGAGGUCAAGCAAAUCCCAUAAAGUUGUUCUCAGUUCGGAUUGUAGUCUGCAACUCGACUACAUGAAGCUGGAAUCGCUAGUAAUCGUAGAUCAGCAUGCUACGGUGAAUACGUUCCCGGGUCU
rnacentral:rRNA from 1 species